rnacentral:rRNA from 1 species
GUAAUGCCUAGGAAUCUGCCUGGUAGUGGGGGACGAACGUUUCGAAAGGAACGCUAAUACCGCAUACGUCCUACGGAGAAGCAGGGACCUUCGGGCCUUGCGCUAUCAGAUGAGCCUAGGUCGGAUUAGCUAGUUGGUGAGGUAAUGGCUCACCAAGGCGACGAUCCGUAACUGGUCUGAGAGGAUGAUCAGUCACACUGGAACUGAGACACGGUCCAGACUCCUACGGGAGGCAGCAGGG